AACCCACAAAUCAUGAGAUCAUGACCUGAGCUGAAGUCCGAGGCUUAACCAACUGAGCCAGGUACCCCUGUCCUGGAAGUUUUAACUGAAGUCACUCCAUAGGCUGUGAUUCAGAACAUUCUCAUGCUCCAUCUUUCUCCACCUCCUGGGAUAGAGCUGGAAGGUUGUUUGGUUUGGCCAGCAGAUCAGGAGCGGAUAGCACCAAUAACCACUCAGUGUGGGAAACACGCGCCCUCCACUUGCCUGGUGCCCACCCCGCUCACCCUCCUCUGCCUUGCCCUCAACCCCCACACUGGAAAGAGCAUCCUUUAGAUGGCACCCAAAGAUCGCUUAUUUUUCUAACUAGUUGGGUUUUUUUUUAAUAAAAACAAUACAGUCAUGAUAAAAAAAAUUCAUUGCCAGAAAAAUUAAGUAAUAAGAUAAAAGUACCCACCCCGUCUCCAUCCAUUCCCCUGCCAUAACCAAUAUGAAAUUUCUUGUGUAGUCUUCCAAAAUUUUUCUAUGUAUCACAUGUGUGCAUGCACCCCAUUUCUUUUUACAUAAAUUGCAUCAUACCAUCUAACUUUCCUUGGAUACCAUUUUGAACAUUUGGUUCUACUCUCUUCUUCAGAAUAGCUGCUGGCUUACUACCUCCCUGUAUGUAUGCAUGUACCCUAAUUUACCCAGCCUCUCCUCCUGAGGAACAGUUACGGUGGCUCCACUUUUUUUGCUAUUAUAAACAGCACUGCAGUGGACAUCUCCAGGCAUAAAGCCUGCUUUGAAGUGAUCUGCCCUUCUGGUAAUUGCUAUAAUAUGUACUCAUCAAUUUGGUAUAUAUGGGUUCACCACCAGGUAUCUUACCAUAAAAAUCAACUAUUGCUUGAGAUUUAUUCCAUCAUCUUAACUCCAGAGUGAGGAAAAGGCAUUUUUAACCAAGUACUGAGCAACAUAACUUGUGUUCUAUCCUGAGUCAGGCACUAUGUGGGAAAUAGAAGUCUAAGACAAGGGCUCUGUCCCCAGGGAUGUGGGUCUAUUAAGAAGACAAAACUGAUGGCCAAAAUAUAAGCCAGAGAAUAGCAAAGAGCAUUAAGGAAUUGUAAGUGAACUGAUGUGGCUCUGAGGCCUGCAUGGCCAGAGGGAAUUUGAGAACUCCCAGAUCAGCUUUGGGCUUGGGCUGUAACAGCUUUAAGCUCCCUUAUACCCAGGAAAAUGGGAAGGGCCUCCCCAAAGAAAAUCAAAUCAAAUCAAAAUGAUUGUCGUUCUGUUCCCAAAUGCUUGUGUUCUGCUCAUCUGGGCCCAGGGCUGGUUUAUUUCCUUCUGCACAAUGUAGGACCCUGCUUUCACUACAUAAGUGGCAUUUUCUAUUCCUUUGAUGUUCCUCUACAGCCCCACAAAGAAACCAGAAAAUAAAACUGUCAACAACAAAUUCUCUUCCAGCAAGAUGGAACCACAUAAAUCUCCAUGAUGUUCAAAGACAUUGCUUCUUUUCUUCCUGGGAAAAGCUGGGAAGCUAAGAAGAGGUUCAGCAUGAAUAGAGCUGAAAUGAUGACAGGCUGAUCCCCAGACCUGGAGAUAAGACGGCAUCGGACAGCCCUGUCCCACUCCUAUGGGACCGGACAGACCCACCCGGGGGAGGUAACAAGAGAAAGACACACCGGAGUCACCCACGCGCGCCCGGCGGACAGAAUCGGAAGUAGAGCGGAGCCAGCAGCAGCUGGCAGUGGCAGCGGAGGGAGGCGGGGCCCAGGCGGAACCCGCCCCUUAGAACGCGAUCCUACCCGCCGACUGGCCGCGACGCCUGGAACUCCAGCCAAUCUUUAAAGCCUUUGAAAGCCCUACGGCCAAGCAGUGCGGAGCUGAGCCAAUGGGCGGCCGCGUUACAGGCUCCUGGAUACCGAAGUCGCGAGUGCUUGCGGUGUAGUAGCUGGCAAAAGUAGAAGCCAGGUCGUGGCUGGCAAUGGCAGCUCAGCGCCCCGGUCUACAUCCGACUGAAGUGUGCCCGCAGCCGACCGGGGCCUGGAGGGUGGGGCAGGCGGACGGCGGCAGAGAUGAGUCCACCCGGAGCUUGGGCGUGGGUGGCGGCCGAGGGUUUGCGGCAAGAGGCCUUUUGUGAAGUCAAUCGGUUCUCACGGCCUCUCAGGGUGCGGUCCUUGGAUCGCCUGCAUCACCAUGGGGUGGGGGUGGGGGAGAGCUCAUUUCAAAUGUGGACUUUGCAGCCCACCCUGGACCCACCGAAUCGGAAAUCCAGCGGUGAGCCUUAGGUGAUUGUUAUGCGCUCUUACGUUUAAGAAUAUGUACCGGAAACCAGACUGUAAUGGGGUGGGUCGACAGCUCACUGAUAUUCAGUGUGUUGGCUGUGUUCUCGAUCUUUCUGCCAGCAUCUUAAGGACUCAUUUAGCCUCGGGAUCUUAGUAAAACCAUCUGUAGAAUGAAAUGAUGCUCUUUGACCUAAGUUCUUUUUUUUUUUUAUUUCUUUAAAUUUUUAUUUUUUUAACAUUUGUUCAUUUUUG